GGAAGGAUCUCUACCUGGAGAUCUCUUCUUUGGUCUGUUUGGUAAACCUUUGGGAUGGUUUGUUUCUAUGCUGAAGGACAUUUGAAAUAAAGGCAACCUUCCCCACUAAAUACCAGGUUGUAAAAUCCCAGAGGCACACCUCUCAGGCCAUUCCAGCACCCGCUUUAUCUCCAGUGAUCUCUGACCCCUGCAUGUCAGGAGUUCAAUCUGACACCAGGACUCCUGGCUGCCUGUUGACUCCUCGGCUUCAUUUAACGAAAGUGAGCAAGAGAACGGCUGAAAAUCAAGAUGCCUGAGGAUUUAGAAUAGAAAGAUCAGCAGCACAUUUUAGUGAAGGAAAGGGAUUGCUUGUGUUCAUCCUUUUCAGAUAGCCAGGAUGCUUUGGGGUGCAAAGUCUCAGCUGCCCCUUAAACAGAGGGACCCAUUUAAAAAUUGCUUGGUCCACACAGAAGAGCCCUGGAGUAGUUGUAAAAGAGGCACCCAAUUUCUCUCCUCUUGCAUGGCCUCUGUUGAAAGGAAGAGUCUAUAAGAAGUUGUUGGGGGCACCUAGCUGGGGUGCCCUCUCCCUGCACCCUACAUCUCAGUCAUUGGGCAGCACCCGAGGGGGAUCCUCACCCCAUUACAAUGAGCGUGAACCAUUCCUUCUUGGGCCACCAUAUCUGAAAGCUGUCCCUUUUUGAGGCACAGACCUGUCUCUUGGUCAUCUCUUUUUAGCACUGUGUCCCAUGCAACAGUACUCCAGCUGACCUGUUCAGACCACCAGUUUAGGGACAGGGCUUUCUAUAAGCCUCUAAGCAGACUUCAGGGGCUAUUUCUGAGCUGAGAACUCCCUCUCUCACCCUAAUUAUCCAAAGGAUGAAAACAUCCUGGCUUUCCCCAAGGUAUAUUCAGGGAUAUUCCCCGAGGCUGGAGAGCCAAGAAUUCCCCAUUUGGCAUCACAGUGUGAUGCCAAGAGUUCACCCCAGGAUAAGAGCAAUGGAGCAUGUCAUCCUUUUGAUUGAGUGCACCAUACCCAUGGGUGGCAAGGGAUGCCAAUACCCCAGACAGAGGGCACUGCUGCGCACCAUCUAAUUAACCCUUCUGAUAGCUUCGAUUAAAAAUAAAGGGGCCUUCAGGUCCCUGCUGGAGCGGCCUAUUUUAUGUGUGUAUCUCCUAGGUUUUACCUCAGCGUAUGAUGUUCAGGAAGCGGUUAUUUCAGGAAAGAGCCCUCAGGAUGGAGGUGAGAACCCAGGACCUCUUGGACUGUCAUUUCAUUCUCUGCACUGUGUGUACACAACUCAUAUGGAGUUACCUCUAAGAACCCACUCAGGUCAAUGUCUGUGUUCACCCUUUUAUCUGGGGCAGCACCUAUCAACACCCUGAAGCCACCAUGGUUGCAGAGAGAGGUGACUUGUGCUGCCAGUCCCAGGGCUCAUCGUGCUCCCUGCAUGAACUCUCCUUUUAGCCCUUUUUCUCUGGCUCUGUGUCCAUCCAUUUGUGCACAGCUCAACCUUAUGGAACAGAUUAGGGACAGCUGCUGGGACAGAUGGCAGCAUAAGGAGACAGAAGAAGACAUCAAUGCCAUCAGAUGUGUGUGGAAGAGACAAACCAGCCCUCCACCUCUAGCUGCAGAUUUCUCCUACUUUUCAGCACAGCAUAAAGCCCUGUAAAACCAAAUUCCCUACUGCCCAAGGCAAGUCCAGACCUGCUGUUUAGCUCUAGGAUCUUCUCCAGCUGAACCUCUCAUGGUGGACCACCAUGAAGUAGAUUUGUGCUUGCUCACUGCACAAGGCUUUUGUGCUUUCACCUGUCCAAGCACAAGCUGAGCCGUACCUGGCAUGUCCUCAGUCCCCAGAGUGACACAAGCAGCUUAGCUGCCUGCUCACUGUCAGCCGUGUGGCCAGCUCAGCUCUGGUGGUGACAAUAGCAGGGACCAAAGAGGGCAUGAUGUAAUUUUCAGAUCCGUUGGGGAGUUUUCAGCAGUGAUGGCUGGAAAAAACCAGCAAUUUCUCUGUGAAAAAGGGCACAUUCACUCUCUUUCCAAUGAGAAAGAAAUAAAUAGAAAGCCUGGUAGUGACUGUCCUUAAUUGAUUAGUCAUUUCUGCAGAUGAUAAUUGCACAUCAAAAGACAGAGAUCCUACUGUUUCAUGCAAAUGUCCUUAGGAAUAACAGCAAGACACAGGGGAAGUGGGUAGAGGAAAUAAAUCCUUUAAGGCGCUGCCCAGGAGAAUUCAGAGCUUGAGAUCCAUUUUGGGAAAGCAGUGUUGCUCUGAACAUGGCUGGAAGGAAUAUCCUCGACCUCCUGAGUGCUGGUAAUGUGGAGAAAGAGGAGGACAAGACUGUGCCCCAGCCAUGACAAAGCACCACCUCUUCAGACACCAGUGGAGAACUUGAAAGAAGAGCUGGCUGAUGAGUCAGGGUUGAAGACAUUCAUCGUGGGUUCUGCAGUGAACCCCAGUUUUGAGUCCUGCCCACACACUGCAGUCUCCUGGGCUCUCUGACUUGUGCCUGGUGUGUCUGGGCCCAUUCUGCUCCCCAUGCUGCCACAUCUGGGCUGUAAGCUGAACGCCAGCCUUGAGGCUCAUCUGAGAACCUCCAUUCUCAUUUAAUUAUUUCAGUGAAGCUGCUAGCCCUGGUGUCUGGCAAAAGAGGCUUGUGAGCAUGACUCAGUCAGCCUCCAAAAGCAGCAGUGAAAAAACAAGAAUCUGCUGUGAGCUGCAUCUUGAUUUUUUUAAGCCAACCUCGUGAUGCUUUGCAGGGCCAAAGCAUAAGUCUGUAAUAUCAGAACAGUGCUAUAAGCUGCAAGUGUUUUGGGGUGCUUAUAAGAGAAAUGGUCAUUUUUCACAAGCACGCAGCCAUCGCUGGGGGCAUGGAGACCCUCUUGUGGGGAGUGAGCCCCUCUGCAUCACAGCCGCAGAGUGGGAGAAGCUUUUGCAGAUGUCAUUUCUUGCAUGGGCAGUUUAAAAAGUUCCCAGAUGCCCUCCUCACUGACCCAGGUAAAUCCUAAACCUGUGAUCCCGCCAGGCCCCACAUCCCAAACAUCACUGAGCAGUGGUAUGCAAAGCAGAGCUGGGGGCACCACCAGACUGUGAUCUUGUAUCAGCUUAGACCCACCAGCACUGGAUUCUUCAGAGCAGUGCUCAGGGAUCUCCAGGGUAAUAAGCUGCCCUCAGCCCUGCCUAAAGGAUGUCUGUGGAAGACCUAGGAGGUGUUGGUGCUUAUGGAGAAGCCAUUUUGCAAAUUUCUCCAGCCUAAAUUCUCACUCCGUGGUCCCUACAGCCUCUGGUGGAGACCAUAUCUGACCUUCCACCUCAUCCUAUGCAGCUCUGCAUGCCCAGAUUCCUACAUGCUCAUCACCUUCAGCAUGGGUUAAUGAACAGCUGGCAUUUAAAUAUUCCUUCAUCACACCAUCACCAUCACUGAUGAAGUCACGGACAGCGUGUUGGAUCCGCAGGUUUGCCUUCAGAUCCCUUACCUUCAUCUG